ACGGGAGCAAUCCUGGUGGCGAGUGGCGAACGCCCUUAGUAAUACAUCGGAACGUGCCCAAUCGUGGGGGAUAACGCACCUUAAAGCUGUGCUAAUACCGCAUGAGAUCUACGGAUGAAAGCAGGGGACCGCAAGGCCUUGCGCGAUUGGAGCGGCCGAUGGCAGAUUAGGUAGUUGGUGGGGUAAAGGCUCACCAAGCCUGCGAUCUGUAGCUGGUCUGAGAGGACGACCAUCCACACUGGGACU
rnacentral:rRNA from 1 species